UAAGGCAGCCGGAGGACACACCUGUGUGGAAGCCUGAGGUCUCUGUUCGGUCCGCCGUCACCCCCAUCUCCUGCUCCCCAGCAGCUGCCCUUGGCUUCCAUCAGGCAUCAGACAGGCAGUGUAGUACGUCUUUCACAAAUGAGCAAGUCAACUAAGGCUGGCCGGGAGGGGCCAAUCCUCAGGAGGGUCGAACCCAGGUGGAAGAGGCAAAUUCCUUAACUCCAAGGGGAACCGAAGAUCUGGUCCUAAUUCUCGGGCCAUGCAGCUAGUGAACCAAGGAGCUGGCUGUGAACCCUUGCUGGUCUGACCCCGGGAUCCCUGUUCCUGUGGUGCCUGUCUACACUACAAAGAAGAAAGCGGUUGGGGUUGAAGAGAGAAGAGGAAACA